GACGAACGCUGGCGGCGUGCUUAACACAUGCAAGUCGAACGGAAAGGCCCUGCUUUUGUGGGGUGCUCGAGUGGCGAACGGGUGAGUAACACGUGAGUAACCUGCCCUUGACUUUGGGAUAACUUCAGGAAACUGGGGCUAAUACCGGAUAGGAGCUCCUGCUGCAUGGUGGGGGUUGGAAAGUUUCGGCGGUUGGGGAUGGACUCGCGGCUUAUCAGCUUGUUGGUGGGGUAGUGGCUUACCAAGGCUUUGACGGGUAGCCGGCCUGAGAGGGUGACCGGCCACAUUGGGACUGAGAUGCGGCACAGACUCCUACGGGAGGCAGCAGUGGAGAAUAUUGCACAAUGGGCGGGAGCCUGAUGCAGCAACGCCGCGUGCGGGAUGGCGGCCUUCGGGUUGUAAACCGCUUGCGCCUGAGACGAAGCGUGAGUGACGGUAAGGGGUAAAGAAGCACCGGCUAACUACG
rnacentral:rRNA from 1 species